GAUGGACGCUGGCGGCGUGCCUAAUACAUGCAAGUCGAGCGAACGGACGAGAAGCUUGCUUCUCUGAUGUUAGCGGCGGACGGGUGAGUAACACGUGGAUAACCUACCUAUAAGACUGGGAUAACUUCGGGAAACCGGAGCUAAUACCGGAUAAUAUUUUGAACCGCAUGGUUCAAAAGUGAAAGACGGUCUUGCUGUCACUUAUAGAUGGAUCCGCGCUGCAUUAGCUAGUUGGUAAGGUAACGGCUUACCAAGGCAACGAUGCAUAGCCGACCUGAGAGGGUGAUCGGCCACACUGGAACUGAGACACGGUCCAGACUCCUACGGGAGGCAGCAGUAGGGAAUCUUCCGCAAUGGGCGAAAGCCUGACGGAGCAACGCCGCGUGAGUGAUGAAGGUCUUCGGAUCGUAAAACUCUGUUAUUAGGGAAGAACAUAUGUGUAAGUAACUGUGCACAUCUUGACGGUACCUAAGCAGAAAGCCACGGCUAACUACGU
rnacentral:rRNA from 1 species